rnacentral:rRNA from 1 species
GUGACGGAAAUCUUAGAAAGUGGCGAACGGGUGAGUAACGCGUGGGUAACCUGCCCUAUGGAAAGGAAUAGCCUCGGGAAACUGGGAGUAAUGCCUUAUAAUAUAGUGAAGUCGCAUGGCUUUGCUAUUAAACGCUCCGGUGCCAUAGGAUGGACCCCGCGUCCCAUUAGCUAGUUGGUGAGAUAACAGCCCACCAAGGCGACGAUGGGUAACCGGUCUGAGAGGGCGAACGGUCACACUGGAACUGAGACACGGUCCAGACUCCUACGGGAGGCAGCAGUGGGGAAUAUUGCGCAAUGGGGGCAACCCUGACGCAGCAAUACCGCGUGAGUGAAGAAGGUUUUCGGAUCGUAAAGCUCUGUUAUUGGGGAAGAAAAAAAGACGGUACCCAAGAAGAAAGUCCCGGCUAACUACGUGCCAGCAGCCGCGGUAAUACGUAGGGGACAAGCGUUGUCCGGAUUUACUGGGCGUAAAGGGCACGCAGGCGGUUUUUAAGUCUAGAUGUGAAAGGUACCGGCUCAACCGGUGACAUGCAUUUGAAACUGAAAGACUUGAGUAUUGG